GAUGAACGCUGGCGGUGUGCCUAAUACAUGCAAGUAGAACGCUGAAGCUUUUUGCUUGCACCGAGCGGAUGAAUCGCGAACGUGUGAGUAACGUGUAGUUAACCUGUCUCUUAGCUGGGGAUAACUAUCGGUUACGAUAGCUAAUACCGCAUAAACGUCGAUUUCGCAUGAUAUUGAUUUUUUUUUUUCAUAUGCGUCACUAUCGGAUGGUCCUGCGUUGUUUUAGCUAGUUUGUGAGGUAACGGCUCCCCAGGGCGACGAUACAUAGCCGACCUGAGAGGGUGAUCGGCCACACUGGGACUGAGACGCGGCACAGACUCCGACGGGAGGCAGAAGUAGGGAAGCUUCGGCGAUGGGGGGAAGACUGACCGAGCGACGCCGCGUGAGUGAAGAAGGGUGUCGGAUCGUAAAGCGGUGUUGGAAGAGAAGAACGAGUGUGAGAGUGGAAAGGUCACACUGUGACGGUAACAUAAGAGAAAGGGACGGCUAACUACGUG
rnacentral:rRNA from 1 species